rnacentral:rRNA from 1 species
UCAGGACGAACGCUGGCGGCGUGCCUAACACAUGCAAGUCGAACGGACGAGGGGAGCUUGCUCCCCAAGUUAGUGGCGGACGGGUGAGUAACACGUGAGCAACCUGCCUUCGAGGGGGACAACAGCCGGAAACGGCUGCUAAUACCGCAUGACAUAUCCUUGAGGCAUCUCGGGGAUAUCAAAGAUUUAUCGCCGAAGGAUGGGCUCGCGUCUGAUUAGCUGGUUGGUGAGGUAACGGCUCACCAAGGCGACGAUCAGUAGCCGGACUGAGAGGUUGAACGGCCACAUUGGGACUGAGAUACGGCCCAGACUCCUACGGGAGGCAGCAGUGGGGAAUAUUGGGCAAUUGGGGGGCAACCCUGACCCAGCAACGCCGCGUGAAGGAAGAAGGCUUUCGGGUUGUAAACUUCUUUGACGAGGGACGAUAAUGACGGUACCUCGAAAACAAGCCACGGCUAACUACGUGCCAGCAGCCGC